rnacentral:rRNA from 1 species
AACGAACGCUGGCGGCAGGCUUAACACAUGCAAGUCGAACGCCCCGCAAGGGGAGUGGCGCACGGGUGCGAAAGGCGUGGGAACAUGCCCUUAGGUGCGGAACAACGUCGGGAAAAUGACGCUAAUACCGCCUAAUAUCUCCGGAUCAAAGAUUAAACGCCUAAGGAUUGGCCCGCAUUAGAUUAGGUAGUUGGUGGGGUAAUGGCCUACCAAGCCGACGAUCUAUAGCUGGUCUGAGAGGAUGACCAGCCACACUGGAACUGAGACACGGUCCAGACUCCUACGGGAGGCAGCAGUGAGGAAUAUUGGACAAUGGGGGAAACCCUGAUCCAGCCAUGCCGCGUGAGUGAUGAAGGCCUUAGGGUUGUAAAGCUCUUUUAGAUGGGAAGAUCAUGCCUGUACCAUCAGAAUAAGCCCCGGCUAAAUUCGUGCCAGCCGCCGCCGUAA